rnacentral:lncRNA from 1 species
GUUCCACCGCAGAUUCGACGAGCUCCCAAAAAGCUGCCGACGGGGUCCGACUAGUGCCAAUGCUAAACUAGUCCAACAGAUGCUCAACAACAGUCCGACAUUGGCCAGCGGUCAACCGUCAUCUUGGUGUGUCACCACUUGGUGUUGAGUCAGAGAAAAGAGUUGAAAGGAGAGUCACUUAAGCCCUCGAUAUACUCACAGCAGAGCCCCAGAGCACACCUACCUAUUAUUUAACUGCCACUGAUCAAUGAUAGUUCAAAGGCGUUAAUCUGCUGGAGCAAAUCUUUUCAGAAUGUUAGCUUUGGUAAGCUGUUUCAAACUUCCAAAAUGAACUUUAUUUUGGCCUGAUUUCGUUUGAAAUGUCACACGAGUUUGUUCUUUGAUUUUGCUUAAAGUACUGUAUAUCGGGGUCUUAAAGUUAUAGUCAAGACAUGUUUGCUCCUCAUAUAGAUCCCUGUUAAAGCUGUGUCUGAUUGUGUGUUAUUGUGUUUCAUUGGUUCUGUUUUAUGUCUCUGUGUGUCAGGAGGCCAUGCAGCAGUGGUACCAACACUACCAUGCACAGAACUAUGGCAACUCUAGCCAAGAGACAGCUGCAGUUACUGAAUGCACAAAAGAGCAACCUCAGGUGGUGGUCACCUCCUCAUACGGAGACUACAGUUCCUACAUGCAUGCUGUCAGUCAGUACUAUUCUCAGACGCAGAUGAGCCAGACAGCUGCUCAAGUCUACCAGCACCGAGAUGUCAGCAAGGAGGUGGAGGUGGUGAAGACCCCCUUGAGUGGGCCUCUGCACACCUCUCUGAACGGCACUGCUCAGACCCUGCUGCCCACCUACAGUGCCCUACCCAUCAUGCCUAGCUUCAUCACACCAACUCACACGCACACACACGUGCCCAGUCCUGCCGCGCACACACCCGCCGCACCCUCAGCCACCGACUGGAACAACUACUAUUAUAGUCAGGCUAGAGGGCAGAAGAGAGAAUACCCCACACUGCCGACACAGGAAGUGACAUCAGAGGGGCCGUAUGUAGGCCAGCACUCACAGGGUCUUGGGGGACAGUACGCCGACUACUUCAAGAAGAAGAGGAUCUAACUCGUAUGUUGCCGUUGUCAUGUCCAGGCCUUAACUUUUAGUCUAUUACUGAUAUUUAUGAAAAGAUUGUACAAUUUAUUGUGCGUAAGGAGGUUUAUUCCUCUUCUUGAACUGUAUGUGGAUGUGGGUACUGUUGUUAUUUCUGUCCGACGCCAGGCGGGACCUCUUAAGAUUGCUCUGACUCUGUCCCAAAUGAUGCAUUAAGAUAAUUGAUAUAGCUCUUUUUCUGUUCUGCCUGUUUACCUCUGCCCCAGGCGGGACGUACCAUUCCACUCCUGAGGGGGGGUUUAUGUGUCCGUGUUUUACUGUACAAAUGGUUAAGGGCUGAUAAAGAUUGAGCUACACUCAGAGAAUAACAAUUUUCAAAGAUUAUUUUUUUCUGACAGGGUAGGGCAUAGCCAAUGUAUAUUGCAUAUUCUGCUAAAUUGGUGUAUUUUUUACUGUGUACAGACAUUGAGGAUAUUAUUACUAUUAAUGUCUUGCUUAAUGUGUCACUGUUUAUCUUGACUAUCGAUUCGCUUUCCGAAGUGUACAGGAAACGCGUGUUCAUAUCAUUGAGGAUUAAUCUUUAAUGUGUGUCUUUGAACAUACUGCUGUAUCUGUAGGAACGAUCAGCCAUUCUGAAUACUGCAGGAGCCUUAAAACACGGCGCUCAGAGAAGACAUGGCUAAGGCAAUAACCUCUACCUUCUCUGGAGAAACUACGUCAAGGUGACUUUUCCCCCAGGUGUCGGUGGGAUGGCCUCCACACAACUUUCAGCUACGAUGCUGCCAGUGGUUUCUUUUUAAUAACAGUAUGAGUAAUAAUACAUUAGUAUAGUAGUAGUAAUAAUCUGCUGGAAGGGUGUCAAGGGUCGGAGGCGUUACAUAUAGGAUAAACACCUGGCAAACAGCCCUGAUGCAAACACCCACUUGGUAAUAAUUUAACAUAAUGUCUUUAUAUGGAUAUUAGUGGUCUGUUAUUCUGUGGUUUAAUCUCUUUUUCUUUAAUGGAGAGAGUCUGUAAUUUUGGUGAGUUUAUGCUGCAAAAAAUCUGUUUUUAAUCCAUAGCAGUUAUUUAAUUUUUUUGCUAAAAUAUACAUUUAAAAAGAUAAAUAUACUUGAGAGG